rnacentral:rRNA from 1 species
GAUGAACGCUGGCGGCGUGCCUAAUACAUGCAAGUCGAGCGAACGGACGAGAAGCUUGCUUCUCUGAUGUUAGCGGCGGACGGGUGAGUAACACGUGGAUAACCUACCUAUAAGACUGGGAUAACUUCGGGAAACCGGAGCUAAUACCGGAUGAUAUUUUGAACCGCAUGGUUCAAAAGUGAAAGACGGUCUUGCUGCCACUUAUAGAUGGAUCCGCGCUGCAUUAGCUAGUUGGUAAGGUAACGGCUUACCAAGGCAACGAUGCAUAGCCGACCUGAGAGGGUGAUCGGCCACACUGGAACUGAGACACGGUCCAGACUCCUACGGGAGGCAGCAGUAGGGAAUCUUCCGCAAUGGGCGAAAGCCUGACGGAGCAACGCCGCGUGAGUGAUGAAGGUCUUCGGAUCGUAAAACUCUGUUAUUAGGGAAGAACAUAUGUGUAAGUAACAGUGCACAUCUUGACGGUACCUAAUCAGAAAGCCACGGCUAACUACGUG